UAUACUGUAUCAACAUGAAUUGAUAGGUCAAACAGCAAACAGCCACCCACAAAUAGUCUAUAAACAAAGCAUCAACCUGUCUUUGAGAUUUCACAUGAACAACGGUUA